rnacentral:rRNA from 1 species
AGUGAACGCUGGCGGUAGGCCUAACACAUGCAAGUCGAACGGCAGCACAGUAAGAGCUUGCUCUUACGGGUGGCGAGUGGCGGACGGGUGAGGAAUACAUCGGAAUCUACUUUUUCGUGGGGGAUAACGUAGGGAAACUUACGCUAAUACCGCAUACGACCUACGGGUGAAAGCAGGGGAUCUUCGGACCUUGCGCGAUUGAAUGAGCCGAUGUCGGAUUAGCUAGUUGGCGGGGUAAAGGCCCACCAAGGCGACGAUCCGUAGCUGGUCUGAGAGGAUGAUCAGCCACACUGGAACUGAGACACGGUCCAGACUCCUACGGGAGGCAGCAGUGGGGAAUAUUGGACAAUGGGCGCAAACCUGAUCCAGCCAUACCGCGUGGGUGAAGAAGGCCUUCGGGUUGUAAAGCCCUCUUGUUGGGAAAGAAAAGCAGCAGGUUAAUACCCCGCUGUUCUGACGGUACCCAAAGAAUAAGCACCGGCUAACUUCGUG